rnacentral:sRNA from 2 species
GAAUGUAGGACAGAGACGUAAGAUGAAUAAAUCAAUGUGUAACGAUUAUAUGCAGCCUCACUCGAAAUUCCCUAACAACUCCUCCCCACCGAAUCAAAGGGAGAACGGCUCAAUGUCUCCUGAAUGUAAUUCAGAACGUAAAUUUAUAUUUACAUUUAUAUUUAUAUAACAAAAAUAAAUAGAUAAUGAACAAUGGUAUGCAUUGACUAAGAUAAAUAAGAUAAAGAUGCAACAACUACAAAUCACAACUACGACCACCCCUCCCAACACUCACACAUCACACACCCACACACAACUACAAAAGCCUCCAUUCCUCAUCGUGCAAACUUAGUCCACAAUCUCCCCGCCCUCCCCUCCAGCGACUCCGACUCCGGCAACGCCUGCACCAACCCCCCACAGAUACUUUGCCACCUCCUUCGCACAGCAGGCACGCUUGAUACUACUGCUCCCAGCACUACCGCCACCACCACUAUUACUAUUACACGGUCGCGGCCGAGGCAGCGGUAGAGCAAACUUCGCCGUACCAUAGCCGGCAUUCAUGAACGAAGAGGGAGUGGAGGGCGGCGGUGACUGUGGCUGCGGCUGCGGCUGCGGCUGCAGUUGCACUUGCAUCUGUAUCGGUUGUUGUUGUGGUACUUGAGAGACGAGAAACGAGUCAGCAACCUGUGUAUCUGGGGCGACAACGGUGUUGCCAUCAUCCUCGUUGCUUCGGAGGGUGUGGAGGGAGGAGGAAGGCGACGAAGAAGAGAAUGAGAGGAGUUCUUCGCGCACGGUGGUGUGUAGGGCGAAGUCGUUGGAGGGGGUGCGGGUACGUUUGCGGGAGGUUCGGGUGGUGAUUGUGGUUGUUGAUGGAGUGGAGGGUUUUGAGGGUGGUGCAGAUGAAUUUGCGGUUGCGGUGUUGUUGUUGGUUGGGUGGGAGAUUGCGUGAGAAGAGGAAAGGUGGAAAGAGCGGGGCAGAGCACCGGAGAGCUCGCAGAGGCCCUGAGCAGCUUCGUGGGCUAGGUCAAUAGAAGACGUGUCCAGCGCGAAGCCGGAAAGUUGUUGGUCUCCCAUAUUAUUUAGCUCCGCGCAGACGGAGGUAGAGAAUGAUUCUGGUGAUGCGUAGAAAUCUGGCCAGCUUCCCUCAUCGAUGGUGGGUACGCUCGUUACCGUGGUAAACGACGAGGUCUUCCGGUAUUCCUUCGCCGCAGGAGCGGCGAGCGAAUAAUUCUGCAUGUUCGCGCAUCGACGAGUCGCCCGCAUAGCCAAUCUUGGCUGCGCAGGCGCACAGGUCCCUGAUGCGACGGAUGAGAUGGAGGAAGAUCGUGACGAACGGGAUGAACGGGACGACGAUGAUGCAAGAGAGGGCACGUCAGAGAUCAUGGACUCUGGUGACGAAGUUGACGAAGCAGAUCGGGCCAGGGAGGAGCGGCGGCCUAGGUUGGAAUAGGUCUCGGUAGGGGCAGUCUUAUUAAAAGUACAAUUGGGGCGGGAGUCGAAGGCAGUACGUUGUGCGCAGAUACUGCGCGCUUGGGACAUGGCGGCACAGAUAGAGGGUUUCCGAGACAGAAAUCCACCAACGCUCACAGCAGGAGUGUUGACGGUGUUUGUCUGUGGGGUCAUCUGAGGAGUAGGGAGAGAAGGGAGCUGGGCAUAUGGGUUUGGCUCGAGUGUUGGGAAAACAGUUCUCGAUCCCGGGGUUGUCUGGUCAUGAGUUGGUAGUGGUGCUGCUGGGGAUGGUGGUGGUACAUUGGACAAUCCGUCCGGGAUCGGCGUAGGAAUUUGUGACGGUGUGACGCUGAUGCCAGACAUGACAUGAUCGGUGACACCACGAUACCGGUCGGAAUCCAGAUCGACGGUGUCAAGUUCCGCAGUGAGCACAGGGAUAAUGUUCCGCCAGGUGAGGCCUUCGCCGUUUGGAGAACCACCCGCGCUGGGCGUGUACUUGAGAACAAUGUCCGUCCAACGCUGGAAGAUGGCUUCCGAAAUGUGAAGUUUCCAGCCCACAGCCUCGAGGAACGCCAGCUCAUUUUGAUUGAUCUCAAGUGUAUUCAAACCCGAAAUUUUGCUCCACGCUCUGGCGGAGUAAUUUCGAUCCUGGAGAUACUUAGAGGCCAAAAUAAGUGCAGAAAGGAACAUUCGCCUGCCACAUUGCAUAGCACGAGAGCACGGGUGGUUCCUGGGUUGCUCCAUGGUGAAAUCUUGUUUAGGUACAUAAGGCUUAAUCAUGAUAAGAUAGUAAAGGGCAACUUGAAGAGUCGAAUAGCUGGUUCUUGACCGUCGAAGGGUUUCCUGGAUGAAAGUGCGCAGUGGCAAAACCCCCCUUGAACCCAAGGGAGAAUCAUUGCGGAGCGCUACCACUGAUAACGGCCAGAUAGUUUCGACGAUCUGAGACGCAGAGUCGACAAGAUUGUCAACGAAAUUGACUUUCCGAUCACACUGGCGGACCAGCGAGGGUGGGGCCCGCGAACAGGCAGACGACAAUGAGGUGUUACUAUUGGUACGUCGGGGAUUCUGCCGCAAUUCAGGAGCAACCGCAGCGUCAGCGACUUUAGGGCCACAACCUCUUCCAGAACGGAAGCAGUGGAAGUUCGAUUCACUUGACAAGCUCAACGUUCUAGCUCCUCCAGCCGGUUGCUGUGAUGAUGAGUCACCAGCUCCUAAGACCUCAUUUUCCCAGAUCACGUCGACAGAACUAGCUGACGACGAGAGUGAAUAUUGGGAAGAGGAGUCGAGGGAGAAGACUGAGGACGAGGAAGACGCGGCAGACGAGGCGAUUGACGAAGUGCACGGGUGCGGGAGAGGUUGCAGGACACUCUUUGGAAGGCUCGGGUUGGCAAGGUUGAAACCCAAGAUGUCCAUUACAGGCAUAUUUUCGAGGGAAGUAUAUCAAGAGCGGUCGCAAAAUGCACCUGCUGAUGAAAUGAAGGAAAACAGUAGGUUGGCAGUAGAGAUUUUCCUUUGUUGCGGCGAGGGGAUGGGGGAAGGGUAGUGGACUGGGAGUGCAAAGCUUUUUAAAUAUCGUUCAACAAUGUGGCCGGACGAUGGAACGGGCGAUUCGGUCAAAACGCCAGUGCGUUUAUUGUCUGUUUUGCGGAAGAGGGGGAAAUAAACCGUUUAGAUAAAGGCCGUGUAAGAUAUGCAGUAGGAUAGUCCCGUCUUGGUAAUUGUUCGAGAGGAGACGGGGAGCCCUCUCUAUACUAUGGCAGAACCCAGGGUGAAAGCAGAGGUACUUCCUAAGUUUGAUGUAAGGGAUGGGCUAAGGGAUAAGCCGCAAUUAGGUUUAGGUGAAUCGCGAUUCCAGGCAGGAAAUAAACGAGAAAAACGAAGGCAGGUUGGUGGACGAUGUAAAUUGCGCCGCAAGAAAAAAAAAGGGGAGAGAGGGUAAGAGUAUUAUUGGUGUCAAGGACGAUAUCCGAUCACCAGCAGUAGACGAUUCCAAAGUUGUAUGUAUGUUGGUAGGCGAUAUGUAGAGGUAGGCAUAAGGGAGUGGAAGGGAGGAGAGGCAAGAGGGAGAGCUGAGGUCGGGUAGGGAUGUGAUAAAGAGGGCAACAACAGGAUUAUAACUGGAUCUAUAUGCAGGUACCAAGCAGCGGAGAGCGCAGGUUGAUAUGUAUACCGAGGCGGGUGGCGUGCACUCGGCUCAUCAUACAAGGGCAACGUGACUCUUCAGGGGCGGAGGCACCCGAUCGACUCUAGACGCGGCCAGUCAUAGUCACAGCCAUUAUAGUCGUAGUUGUAGUAGUAGCAACGCGUAGGAAUGCAACUUUGGAAUCUGCUGAGAUGGCGAUCGGAUCGGAGGAAUAUGACAGAACAGGGUACAUCGUCACCCUGCAGCCAACACACAAACACGCGGGAAGGGGGUUGGAAGAAGAAGAAAAAACGAGGCUGGUGGUUGAAGCAGGCAACACCAGCUAAGGCUUGCGCUUAUCCAGCAGACCUCUUCGCUCUAGCUAGGUAACAGGAUGGUUUCUCUGGCACGGUAGGCACGCGCUGUUUCAAAGGGUCGUCAAGGGAAGUAAAAACCAACCCGAUCUCCCGACCGUUGUGGCCAGGCAGAUCGAGAGUGCACGGGGGUGGUGUGAGCUGGGUAUUGGAGACUCCGGAUACGAAGGAAAGUUGAGGCGAGGCGAGGCGAGGCGGCGAGGAGGAGGACAGGAGGAAGAGAGAAUAGGUCGGGGGAACUGCUGUGGAAGAAGACAAUCCGAUCAGUGAGACAUGAGGAGGGCUUCUUGAGGAGGAGGAGAGGAGAGGAGAGAGGAGAGGACAGGAGAGGACAGGAGAGGACAGGAGAGAGGGCGAUGAGUAAGAAGGGGACAGCCGAGCGGAGGUUGAAGUCGGAAGUUGUGGUAAGGAAAGAGCUUUUUUGGCUUUUGGGGGGGUUUGGGUUUGGGCUUGGGCUUGGGAUGUGUAUGACUGUGUUUCCAGAAGGUGGCAACAACAAACACUGUGGCGAGUGGGGAUCCAACUGACCUAGAGUGCAAUCAAAUAAAUAUACAGAAAAGAUCAAAUCAGAAGAAAAAAAGAAUUAAAAAAAAGAACGAAAUAAAUGACAAAUAAAAAGUGGAAAUAUUAAUAAAUCGAAAACGCAACAAUGCGUAAGGGAGCGAAACUGAUACUGGAGUGGAUGGCUGGCGAGGGUGAGUUUGUUCGUCGCUGUGGAGAGGGCCAGGCGGAGUUGGCGAUGACUGAUAGCACGGCGCUGAUUUUGUUAGCGGAGCUUCCAACGGCGAAUAACAGCCUGACGGUGACUGCGAUGAUAGUUGAUUCUCUGUUCUGUUCUUCUUUCCACCCAAACCCCCAACCCCCAAGAAUCAAAUCAUAAGCUAGCUAGGGGAGAGAAAAAAGGAGGGUGGGUAGGUUCAACGGAAUGAAUGCGGGAGAACUCUUUUUCUAUCUUUCUUUCUUUCUUUCUUGAUAUUUUCAAUUCUUGUGCUCGAUAGAGACAUUAGCCCAUUUUUUUUAAUUUUUUAAUUUUUUUUUGUUAUUGAUUUUUCUCUUUUGGUGAUGGGCUGGUGGAAGAGGAAAAGAAAAAAGCCUCUGGAAUGGACGUUGGUAAAUCCCAGGCAGUAUCGGCUUGGGGGGGCAAUAAUCAUGGGAAUGGAACGCGAACAGGGUUCGUGGGAAGUGUCGCUUUGCCGCCAUCGCCGCCCCCGAGACCAGGCCAAGUUUCCGGGUUCAGGGCAGAUAUCCACCACCGUAGGCAUCGGGGUGCAGGCAGCAGAGGGGCAAAGCAACAAAAAGGGGGCUUGGAGCUCGGAGUUUCUUCGGAGAAAUGUCCAGGAUGGCUGGCUGGCUGGGGAUGUGAUGGAAUGAUUGAUGGUAGCGGCUUGUUGCCUUUGCCUUUGCUUAUGCGUUUGCUUACCUGAAAGAAACUGGAAGGACUUUCUUCUGUCUAAAUAAAGAAUUUCAAAGACGGCUGGUCCGUUGGGUCUGCAGGCAGGCUGUUGCUGGUGAACUUAUGUCUGGAACCAUCGAAAGAGGAACGAACAAGGUGGAGAAGGAAAAAGGGAAAGGCAAGGGUAGAAAGAAGAGGAUGUAAGAGAGAGUGUUUGUGGCACGAAUUAAAAGGCAAUCCAAAGCCUGUCGGCUCAAAGGGAAAAUAAAAAGUGAUUUAUGCAAUGGGGUAGGCAAGGAACAGUGGAAGCAAGUAAAUAAGUAUCAUAUCAUUGGCAAGAGAACAAGAGGGGGGAUUUUGCGAAUGGAGGAAGAAUUGGCCGGAGCCUGAGGCAACGACUGUCCGGGCUUUUGUCUGUGUUAUACGAUCGAUGGAUGGAUGGAUGGAUGAAUGCAGAGGCAGGCUCUCUACAAGCAGCUGCGUGCGGCCGGGAGAAGCUCGAUGACACGGUUCAUAUUGACAGCAUUUCCAUGAGAAAGAGAAAAGAAGGGAGGAGGAAGCAAGAGAACUCAGAACUCGACGUCUACAAUCGGCGGCGGGGAAUCUUGCAACCCCAUGCUGACCACCAGCAAAUCAGUUUAUAUCCCUGGAUGGUUGAAUACGAUAUUUUAUUCUCCUCUUUCACUGCUUACGGAUGUCGUUGUCGACGAUACUAGGGCUAUUGUUCUUUUUAAAAAUAAACGAAGAAUGAAUGUUUAAUACAGAUUGGAUGUGUCAAGGAAAGAGUUAAAAAAAAAUCAGCCAAAACAUCAAGCCCAGAAAUACAUCAUCUGUCCUCUCCUCCCCACCAUUUUCAAGCGCACGGAUUUGCCCGUCUUGCGGAUGCCUCGAGGGUUAUCGUCACCCUUCAGGUUCCAACGCAGCGAUCACCGCCCUGAACCACGAAUCCCUCUCCCCAAGGGCCCCCACCUCAACAUGCAACCGCUACCAGCCUCCCUUGGCCCUGGGUUUGAUUGGUGUAUUAUCAAUAAUAGUGUCCCACAGCUAGGGAAACUAAGGACAAGGGGACACUCGCACACAGGCUGCUAUCGAUGCCUGCCAGCAUAUGCGUGUGGACUUUGCCAGAGGAAGAGUGGCGUUUCAACAACUCCUCGUGCGAGUCAACGCUAGCAUAAUAGCAUGCAUGGAGCAUACAUUUUAACGAUGUUCGAUG